UCGACGGCAGCACGGGAGCAAUCCUGGUGGCGAGUGGCGAACGGGUGAGUAAUGUAUCGGAACGUACCUUUCAGUGGGGGAUAACGUAGCGAAAGUUACGCUAAUACCGCAUAUUCUGUGAGCAGGAAAGCAGGGGAUCGCAAGACCUUGCGCUGAUUGAGCGGCCGAUAUCAGAUUAGCUAGUUGGUGAGGUAAAGGCUCACCAAGGCGACGAUCUGUAGCGGGUCUGAGAGGAUGAUCCGCCACACUGGAACUGAGACACGGUCCAGACUCCUACGGGAGGCAGCAGUGGGGAAUUUUGGACAAUGGGCGCAAGCCUGAUCCAGCCAUGCCGCGUGAGUGAAGAAGGCCUUCGGGUUGUAAAGCUCUUUCAGCCGGGAAGAAAACGCAUGGGUUAAUACCCUGUGUGGAUGACGGUACCGGAAUAAGAAGCACCGGCUAACUACGUGCCAGCAGCCGCGGUAAUACGUAGGGUGCGAGCGUUAAUCGGAAUUACUGGGCGUAAAGCGUGCGCAGGCGGUUUGUUAAGAUAGGCGUGAAAUCCCCGGGCUCAACCUGGGAACUGCGUUUAUGACUGGCAGGCUAGAGUAUGGCAGAGGGGGGUGGAAUUCCACGUGUAGCAGUGAAAUGCGUAGAGAUGUGGAGGAACACCGAUGGCGAAGGCAGCCCCCUGGGCCAAUACUGACGCUCAUGCACGAAAGCGUGGGUAGCAAACAGGAUUAGAUACCCUGGUAGUCCACGCCCUAAACGAUGUCAACUAGGUGUUGGGUGGGUAAAACCAUUUAGUACCGGAGCUAACGCG
rnacentral:rRNA from 1 species